UGCGUAGACGGCAUAGUAAGUUCGCUGUUAAAUAUUCCGGCUCAACCGGAAAGCUGCGGUGGAAACUACUAAGCUAGAGGAUGGAAGAGAGAAGUGGAAUUCUCGGAGUAGCGGUAAAAUGCGUGGAUCUCGAGAGGAACACCGAUGGCGAAGGCAGCUUCUUGGUCCAUUCCUGACGUUGAGGCACGAAAGCGUGGGGAGCAAACAGGAUUAGAUACCCUGGUAGUCC
rnacentral:rRNA from 1 species